rnacentral:lncRNA from 1 species
UUUCACAACUCAAAAUAAAGGAGGCCUGAUUUGUAUGUACACCUAAAGGACGUCAGACACUAGUGUGAGUUUUUGAUAGAUGGGAUGGAUAAGGAGUCUCUAGUGUUUUAGACACGAUGUCAGAACAUGGGUUAAGGAAAUAUGGUGCAUGUGACAUAAACGUGCAAUAAGAUUUGAGUGAGAAAGUUCUUUGUUACCUCUCUAAAGUUAUUAGAAUAAGGUGAACCCCUAUAGCCCAAAUAGAUGUGAAUACGAGGGAACAGAUUAUGGUAGAGUGGAGCUUCUUCUUUUCCCUUCGAAAGAACCUUUACUUCCUUUCUUUAUUACUAAGCUAUGCUAGAAGGCUAAGGUACCUAUGGAGAUGGAGGAUGCAUUGACCGAGUUUGAUGCUCCCUUCAAUCGAUUGAUAGUGCAGAGUGCUAAAGGGAGGAGUAAAACAAAGAGGAAUAUGAGUGUCAAUAGGGAGAGCAAUGGGUAUUAGGAGGGUGGAGGAUUGGGGACUAUCCUCUUACGUCCACCGAGGCCCUUCAGGUGAUUAAAGAAUGAUUUAGUGACUAUAAAAUAUAUGAUUUCUAGGAUGCCCAUCCUUCCCUGAGAUCCUACUUCUUCUAGUAUGUAGGCCUCUCAAAUAUCCAAAGUGCUUACUCUAUCUUGGCUCAGGCAUAUGUAGAGAUUCAAAAGGAAAUAGAGGUAGAGAAAGAAGGGGCACACUCAAGAUUAGUUGCUGGUACACAAAUGGAAAGGAAUGAAGGUUAUCAUAAAUUUUGUUUCCUCGGGGUAGAAGCUCCCCAAGGCGAGGAAUACCGAUGCUCAAGGGUUGUCCUUUCCUGAGUGGGAUAUAUGAUAAAGGUUCAGCUGUACCCAUCCUUACAUAUUAAGUGUCCAAUUUGGCCUAUCUUGGUAAUCCCGCCCCUCUCUUAUGUUUUUAGAUUGUUGUAUUUUUGGCCCUAUGUAGGCAUGUUUAAGAUAUCUCAUUACUUUUUGUACUCAAUAUUUAUUACUUAUUUUUCAUUCUUUGGUGUCGUUAGUGUCAUCUUUGGAUGAUAAUUUUGUUUGUAGUCCCAUAGUAUAGAAAUAUUGUAUUAGCAUCUGGAUUUUUCCUUUAAAUUGUGUUUUUUUGUAAAAUAUAGUUCUUCUAAAAAUUGGGCUCGAGCUUUCAGCUUGUGACUGCUGUAAUAGUACCUCAUAUGCUGCAGCAGUCUUGCUAAAACAACCUAUGGCCUGCUACAGCAACCUCAACCAGCCUACUAAUGUAGUAUGUCACCAACUGCAGUGUAACGCCCCAAGAACCCAUCCCGAG